rnacentral:rRNA from 1 species
UACGUAGGGUGCAAGCGUUAAUCGGAAUUACUGGGCGUAAAGCGUGCGCAGGCGGUUAUAUAAGACAGUUGUGAAAUCCCCGGGCUCAACCUGGGAACUGCAUCUGUGACUGUAUAGCUAGAGUACGGUAGAGGGGGAUGGAAUUCCGCGUGUAGCAGUGAAAUGCGUAGAUAUGCGGAGGAACACCGAUGGCGAAGGCGGCCCGCUGGGCAGUGGCUGACGCUGAGGCGCGACAGCGUGGGGAGCAAACAGG